rnacentral:lncRNA from 1 species
ACAUUUCGUAUAUGUAUAUAUAUAUUCAGAAUCAAAAUGACUAUUGUAUUGUUAAUCCUGGGCAGACGACUGUUAUAUAUUAUGCAGAAUUCGAAAAAAUCAAUAACAACAAGAGUAUUAUGCAGAAAGAGUGUUGUUGCAAUGCUGACACGCACAUGUAAAAGUAGGAUCGGUGUCAUAAAGACAACGGCCGUCAAGAACAGAUUGGUGAAGGAUAUUAAAUAAAAGGCCGCGGGGC